GCGCGCGCCUCUGCCUUCCCGCGGGGGAGGCGUGCACCACUCGCCGCACACACCUGUCCGCGCACACACGCAGCCCGUAAAGACACCGCGGUUACCUGUACGCGCACCAACGGCCCUUUUGGAAGCUGAGAUCUGAGGAUUACCAUUAGAAGCCGACCCAGGACGGAAAGCCGAAGAUUCUUAUCCCCAAUUAACAAAAAGCCAGAAGUGGAAUGUGGCUAAAAGAAGUAGAGCACCAGCCUUCAGCAGACAAAGCCAAGUGCUAGCCAUGUGUUGAGAUGAAGGGAUAAUCAGACGGUCCAGGAACUACCAGGAGCGAGUAAGCAACUGACCUGAUUCCAGUAAACCCACACAUCACUGUAGCCCAAUGGUGAAAGUAGGAGCUUCCAUGGAUCAGGUGACCCAUGGACUUUGAACUCAAGGCUGCCUCACAGCUGAACCCGUCUUGUGAUUGUCACCAUUCUAGAAUGUAUCAUUGGAAUAGAUGUUCUCAAUACCCAGCAGAAUAGUCACAUUAUUAUAUUCACACCUGUGGGAUGAGUGUUAUUAUGUAGAGAAAGGCCAAACUGAAGCAGUUAGAACUGUCUCAAACUCGGAACGUUGUAAACCAAAAGCAGUAACAAGAUCCUGGAAGGACUGCAGAGUUCAGAGCCACCAUCAAUAAUUGAAGGAUAUAGAGGUGGUAGUCCCCACCAUAUCUUCACUCAGUAUGCCUAUUGGCCUGUAUAGAAAACAGGUACAUUGGGUUAUCCAGGUGGCCACUCCAUCUGCAGCUGCAAUACCACCUGUGGUUCCUUUGCUUAACACAUUCCUGGCACCUGCUAAGCAGUCACUGACUCAGCAGAUGCCGUUUUCCCAUCUGUCACCAAAUCUCACCUUCACUGUUCUGCACAGAGCCCAUGAACCCUCCAGCUCUAUGCCAUAGGGCACUUGGUCACUGUUUUUCUCCAGGAAAUACCACACUGCUCUGAUACCAAUGACAUUAUGCUGAUUGUACCUGGUAAGCAGAAGGGAGCAGCCACUUUGUCUUAUUGGUAAGACAUCUACA